CGGAAGUUAGUGCUGCAACGGUUCUGAACGUAAUAUCAGAGGGUUCGGAGAGGCAGCGACCGACCCGGGUACCGACAGGUUCGUUGUCAGCCGUUUUAUCCGAACACAAACUGGAAAAAGAAGGGCGGGAAUGAUGGACAGUAUUACCGGGCAGUAUUGGAGCAGCAGCGGCGGGGAAUACAGCUCUGUUCUCGGUGUGAAUGUGGGAAUUUAGCCGCUGACGAAGACAAGCCAUCGGACUGCUGUUUCUCUGCAUCUCCUCCAUCUUGGAUGUUAGUGAUGAUGGAGCACAUCCGUACUCCCAAGGUGGAAAAUGUUCGUCUCCUGGACCGGUCAUCAGGCCAGAGGAAGGCCAGCGUGGGGACCCUCUACCUGUCUGCCACCCACACCAUCUUCAUCGAGAACAACCCCGAGACCCGCAAAGAGACCUGGGUGCUGCACAGCAUGGUCUGCAGCGUGGAGAGACCGCCCGCCACGCCCUCAGGAAGUCAGCUCAUCCUUCGCUGUAAAGACUUCCGGGUCUUCCAGGUUCUCAUCCCACAGGAGAGGGCCUUUCUGGACGUCCACGCCUCAUUGGUCCGUUUGUCACGACCAGAGAAAUACAGCGAGUUGUACUGCCUGUCCUUCAACCCCAACGUGAACAAAGAAGAACGAGAAGAAUCCUGGAACUUCAUCGACCUUCAGGCUGACUACAAGAGGAUGGGCGUUCCCAACAACCUGUGGGUCUCCACAGUGGCCAACAGUGAAUACCGGGUGUGUGACACGUACCCCACUGAGCUGUUUGUUCCCAGGACGGCUACACCCGCCGUCAUCGUGGGCAGCUCCAGGUUCAGGAGCCGAGGGCGAUUUCCUGCUCUGUCCUACUUCCACCAGGACACCCUGGCGGCGGUGUGUCGGUGCAGUCAGCCGCUGUCGGGCUUCAGCGGCCGCUGUCAGGAGGAUGAGAUGAUGCUGCAGGCGGUGAUGAAGUCCAACCCAGGAAGUGAUUUCAUCUAUGUGGUGGACACCAGACCCAAGUUGAACGCCAUGGCCAACAAAGCGGCGGGGAAAGGCUACGAGAACGAGGACCAUUACAACAACAUCAAGCUGCACUUCAUCGGCAUCGAAAACAUCCACGUGAUGAGGAGCAGCCAGCAGAAGAUCAUCGAUGUGGGUGAGAUGCGUGCUCCAACCAUGACAGACUUUCUGUGGGGGCUGGAGAACUCUGGUUGGCUCAAACACAUUAAAGCCGUUCUGGACGCAGGACUCUUCAUCGCGAAGGCGGUGGCUGAUGAAGGUGUCAGCGUUCUGGUUCACUGCUCAGACGGAUGGGACAGGACGGCCCAGGCCUGUUCUGUGGCCAGUAUCCUGCUGGACCCGUUCUACAGAACCAUCCAAGGAUUCAUGGUGCUGAUAGAGCGGGACUGGGUUUCUUUUGGGCACAAGUUCUCCCACAGGUACGCUCACCUGGAUGGAGAUCCCAGAGAGGUUUCUCCCGUCAUAGACCAGUUCCUGGAGUGUGUGUGGCAGCUCUCGGAGCAGUUCCCAUGUGCCUUUGAGUUCAACGAGCGCUUCCUCAUCGCCGUCCACACACACGUGUACUCCUGCCAGUACGGGACCUUCCUGGGAAACUGUGAGAAGGAGCGCCGGGUCAUGAGGCUUCGUGAGCGCAGUCACUCUGUGUGGCCUCAGCUCUGGAAGGACCGGUCCCAGUUCUCCAACCCACUUUAUAAGGCCGAGCUGAGCCAGAGUCAGGGCAUCCUGAGGCCCAACACCACCCCCUACUGCUUCAAGAUGUGGAAGGGCCUCUACAACCACGUGGAGAAGUCGACGCCUCCCCGACAGUCACCUGCUGACUUCCUGUCUGCCGUAAGGGAGGAGUCCCAUCGGCUGGAGGAGGAGCUGACCAAUCACCAGGAGAGGAUCACGGUUCUCACAGGGAAACCAAUCAUGUGGGAGAAGAUGGAGGCUCCGUGGAGGAGAAGUAGCCGUCUGCCGCACAGACACAGCGGGCCGGACCCGCCCACAUCCUACUCUGAAGCAGUCACCAGCUCUGAACUUCAGAACAGUCACCUGUGCUCCUCUGAGCUGGCCAAUCAGAGGGCUCAGAGAGCAGACUCCGCCUUCUCUGGGCUGUUGGGGCAGCAGCUGAGGAGUCCGGAUGUGGAGGACGUUUCGGCCUGCAGCGACCUGGAGUCGGGCGUGGCCGACCUCAGCAGCCGCUCGUCCUGUGGUGGGGACGACAGCAAGGACCCGGAGCUGGAGUGAGGUUGCCCCUGCUGCUGCCUGUCAGGAAUAAAGGGAACUCAGUCUUAUUUAAUGGUUCACUGGACAGAGCCGGACUACUGGAUCUGGUUCCUAAGAGAGAAAACCAGAUGAAUUUUAUCCCUCAGAUAAACUCAUCCAGUUUUUGUUUACUUUCCAUACAGGCUGCUGUUUUAUUUCUAGAUGCAGAUUUAAAUUGUUUUACUGUUUUAAAUAGAUGCACUGUAGGGCAGACCGGUGUCAUGCUGCGGGCUCGAUGAGGAAGGUAGGAAACAAACAUACCUGAGUGUGAACAUGUUGAUGUCAUCAUUUCUUUCCAAUGUGAAGUGAGUUGAAUGUGUUUAUAUGUAGACAAGUCUCCAUGGCAACAGAUUUAAGUUGAAUUUCUGAAACAAACCUGAACGCCAGGGUCGAGUUUUCCCUCAACUUCCUGGACGAUCCGGUUCAGGAAUUCCCUCAGGUUCCAGGUUCCAUCCAUCCCUCUGGAUGGGAGACUUUAGAGCCCAGAUCACAAGAUGAAGUGGGCCUCUUCUAACCACCAGAGUGUAAUUAACCUUCUUCAAGUGUUCGUUCAUCUCAAAGAUGACAAGAAGAAAGUUGACUAGUGAAGAUCUGGAACACAACAUGGAGCAGGUCGAGGAGCUCCCGGGUGAAGGACUUCUGGUCCGACCCAAGCCGAUUCUGUCUACAGAUCUAUGUUUUCAGAUUAAAAGCUGAACAUAAAACCAUUGGAUAAUCUGGAGUUGAAUCAGAUGCAGUAGUUUGUUUCUGUCUUUUCAAACGUCUCUGAGAACAUUAGAGAAGAAGACCUGGGAUCUCCUCUUCUUCAGAAUCUGUACUCUGUGGCGUGUUUGUACAGUCAGCGUUGUGUAUCAUUGAUGUGAACGAUCAAUAAAUGCUCUAAAAGUA